rnacentral:tRNA from 1 species
GCUAAAGUAGCUUAUUCACAAAGCCUCGGCCUUGUAAACCGAAGAAUAGAGGGCCAACCCCUCUCUUUACCU